GGGUGCCCCCUUUGGCAGACAAGACUAUUUAGGUAGGGGCAACUUACAUACUGUGCGAAAUGGACCAAACGAGACAUGUGAUAUGAAGAAGUUUGUAGCAACUCCCAUCUCUCAUUGGCAGAAUGCAACUUCAGUUGGGCCAAAUGCUGUCAGAGAAAUUAUUGUAAUUGAUGAUUCUCCAGAAAACGAGGCUAAUUCUCCAUACACCAUGAACUCAGGGAAAAUGCAGAUUAGCUCAGGCUAUACCUCAAGGUUUGUGGAUCUCUGUGAAAAUAGACCGCGUGGUGAAACUGGAGCAGCUCAGAAUGCAAAUUUGCUUACUCAAGUGAAUGAGCUUCCUGCU
rnacentral:misc_RNA from 1 species